rnacentral:rRNA from 1 species
UACGUAGGGUGCAAGCGUUAAUCGGAAUUACUGGGCGUAAAGCGUGCGCAGGCGGUUAUGCAAGACAGAUGUGAAAUCCCCCGGCUUAACCUGGGAACUGCGUCUGAUACUGGAAGGCUUGAGGAUGGGAGAGGGAUGUAGAAUUCCAGGUGUAGCGGUGAAAUGCGUAGAUAUCUGGAGGAAUACCGGUGGCGAAGGCGGCAUCCUGGACCAUUACUGACGCUGAGGCGCGAAAGCCAGGGGAGCAAACGGG